CGAGUGCUAUACAUGCAGUCGAGCGGACAGAUGGGAGCUUGCUCCCUGAUGUCAGCGGCGGACGGGUGAGUAACACGUGGGUAACCUGCCUGUAAGACUGGGAUAACUCCGGGAAACCGGGGCUAAUACCGGAUGCUUGAUUGAACCGCAUGGUUCAAUUAUAAAAGGUGGCUUUUAGCUACCACUUACAGAUGGACCCGCGGCGCAUUAGCUAGUUGGUGAGGUAACGGCUCACCAAGGCAACGAUGCGUAGCCGACCUGAGAGGGUGAUCGGCCACACUGGGACUGAGACACGGCCCAGACUCCUACGGGAGGCAGCAGUAGGGAAUCUUCCGCAAUGGACGAAAGUCUGACGGAGCAACGCCGCGUGAGUGAUGAAGGUUUUCGGAUCGUAAAACUCUGUUGUUAGGGAAGAACAAGUACCGUUCGAAUAGGGCGGUACCUUGACGGUACCUAACCAGAAAGCCACGGCUAACUACGUGCCAGCAGCCGCGGUAAUACGUAGGUGGCAAGCGUUGUCCGGAAUUAUUGGGCGUAAAGCGCGCGCAGGCGGUUUCUUAAGUCUGAUGUGAAAGCCCCCGGCUCAACCGGGGAGGGUCAUUGGAAACUGGGGAACUUGAGUGCAGAAGAGGAGAGUGGAAUUCCACGUGUAGCGGUGAAAUGCGUAGAGAUGUGGAGGAACACCAGUGGCGAAGGCGACUCUCUGGUCUGUAACUGACGCUGAGGCGCGAAAGCGUGGGGAGCGAACAGGAUUAGAUACCCUGGUAGUCCACGCCGUAAACGAUGAGUGCUAAGUGUUAGAGGGUUUCCGCCCUUUAGUGCUGCAGCAAACGCAUUAAGCACUCCGCCUGGGGAGUACGGUCGCAAGACUGAAACUCACAGGGAGUUGACGGGGGGCUCGCACAAGCGGUGGAGCAUGUGGUGUAAUUUCGAAGCAACGCGAAGAACCUUACCAGGGUCUUGACAUCGUCUGACAACCCUACAGAUAGGGCUUCCGCUUCGGGGCAGAGUGACAGGUGGGUGCAUGGCUGUCGGUCAGGCUCGGUGUCUGAGAGAUGGUGGGAUUAGGUCCUCCCAAACGAAGCAGCAGUCUCUUGAAUCUUAAGGUAGACCAUUCAUUUCCACUUUGGUCG
rnacentral:rRNA from 1 species